GACGAACGCUGGCGGCGUGCUUAACACAUGCAAGUCGAACGGAAAGGCCCUGCUUUUGUGGGGUGCUCGAGUGGCGAACGGGUGCGUAACACGUGAGUAACCUGCCCUUGCCUUUGGGAUAACUUCAGGAAACUGGGGCUAAUACCGGAUAGGAGCUCCUGCUGCAUGGUGGGUGUUGGAAAGUUUCGGCGGUUGGGGAUGGACUCGCGGCUUAUCAGCUUGUUGGUGGGGUAGUGGCUUACCAAGGCUUUGACGGGUAGCCGGCCUGAGAGGGUGACCGGCCACAUUGGGACUGAGAUACGGCCCAGACUCCUACGGGAGGCAGCAGUGGGGAAUAUUGCACAAUGGGCGGAAGCCUGAUGCAGCAACGCCGCGUGCGGGAUGAUGGCCUUCUGGUUGUAAACCGCUUUCGCCUGUGACGAAGCGUGAGUGACGGUAAUGGGUAAAGAAGCACCGGCUAACUACGUG
rnacentral:rRNA from 1 species